rnacentral:lncRNA from 1 species
CAUAUUACUGGCUUCUCUUCAGAGUUGUCAAGCCAGCAGAGGAUUUUGGUUCAAAGGCCAGAGAAAAGACAGAUAAUUAGACUUAACUCUUCCUUUUCUUCAUAUAACGAAAAAGUUAAAAUAUUUACAUAAUGAACAAAGUUGCAAUGAUCUUUCUUUUCAUUUUUGUAUUUUUAAUGGACUGUCUGCUUCAUUUGAACAUGAUUUAUUCAGGUGAGUAAAAGUUAACUGAAGAACUAGUAGGCUUGAAAAGUUACAUUAGCCAAAGGGGAAGUAAAAUUGUAUACAAGGGUAAUUAUUUUUCACUGUUAGAGGUUUUCAAGACAGUUAACCAUCUCAAAUAUUUUGCAGCACCCAUAAAAUUGAAUCAAUCACCAGCCAAACCAAAUGAAAACAAUAGCAGUCAUCAACAUAGCGGAUUUCCAUCAAAGUACUCAGGCAUGAUGAGAAAUGAGACUGUUGUUCUAGAGGGAAAAGUCUGGAAAAAUUCUGAUAUAGCAUAUGCUAUACCUAAACGAUACAUCAAAUGGGAUAUAGGGAAUAUGGACUUCUAAAAUUCACAAAUAGUCCUCUAAUCAAAUCUCUUUUAGACAGUACCACACAAAUCAAAACAAUAAAUGCAUCAUUUAAUUAGCAAAGUAUGGCUACUCUUCUUUCAACCAAAUAAACUGCAAGUGUCAUACUGA